rnacentral:piRNA from 1 species
UGCUCGUAAAGGAUGAAGAACUGUCGCUGC